rnacentral:rRNA from 1 species
CACGUAGGGCGCAAGCGUUGUCCGGAAUUAUUGGGCGUAAAGAGCUCGUAGGUGGUUUGUUACGUCCGCUGUGAAAUCCUAGGGCUUAACCCUGGGCUUGCAGUGGAUACGGGCAGACUAGAGGUAGGUAGGGGAGAAUGGAAUUCCUGGUGUAGCGGUGAAAUGCGCAGAUAUCGGGAAGAACACCCGUGGCGAAGGCGGCUCUCUGGGACGGUACUGACGCUGAGACGCGAAAGCGUGGGGAGCGAACAGG